rnacentral:rRNA from 1 species
UACGUAGGGUGCGAGCGUUGUUCGGAAUUAUUGGGCGGAAAGCGCACGUAGGCGGCUUGGCAAGUCGGAUGUGAAAUCCCUCGGCUCAACCAAGGAAGUGCAUCCGAAACUGCUAAGCUUGAGUACUUAAGAGGAUCGCGGAAUUCCCGGUGUAGAGGUGAAAUUCGUAGAUAUCGGGAGGAACACCAGUGGCGAAGGCGGCGAUCUGGGAAGAUACUGACGCUGAGGUGCGAAAGCGUGGGGAGCAAACAGG